rnacentral:rRNA from 1 species
AUUGAACGCUGGCGGCAGGCCUAACACAUGCAAGUCGAGCGGAUGAAGGGAGCUUGCUCCUGGAUUCAGCGGCGGACGGGUGAGUAAUGCCUAGGAAUCUGCCUGGUAGUGGGGGAUAACGUCCGGAAACGGGCGCUAAUACCGCAUACGUCCUGAGGGAGAAAGUGGGGGAUCUUCGGACCUCACGCUAUCAGAUGAGCCUAGGUCGGAUUAGCUAGUUGGUGGGGUAAAGGCCUACCAAGGCGACGAUCCGUAACUGGUCUGAGAGGAUGAUCAGUCACACUGGAACUGAGACACGGUCCAGAGUCCUACGGGAGGCAGCAGUGGGGAAUAUGGGACAGUGGGCGAAAGCCUGAUCCAGCCAUGCCGCGUGUGUGAAGAAGGUCUUCGGAUUGUAAAGCACGUUAAGUUGGGAGGAAGGGCAGUAAGCUAAUACCUUGCUGUUUUGACGUUACCAACAGAAUAAGCACCGGCUAACUUCGUG